CUACUAAACAGGGAGUACCAGCAAAACAAUAAUGCCUGGAGAAAACUUCCUUCUUCCAAAGAAGGACCCCCAAAUUAAAUGAAGUAUAGACUCCACCAAGGCUGAAUCUACUUUGAUAAGAAACAUCCCAGAGGGGUGCCUGGGUGGUUCAGUCAGGCUGGCACUCCUCCACUGAAAGAUUUGUGACCACAGCGGAAGGUGUCCUCCAACGCUAAGCCAUGAAAGGUGAUGCGUCUUCCACCUGAUCCUCUUGAGAUGCUCACCCUGGAACUCAGCCACCAUAUCGUGAAGAAGUCAAAUACCCACAUGGAAAAAGCCAAUGUAGGUGUUCCUGCCUUAGCUGAGAUUCCAGAUGGCAGCCAGCAUCCACAAC